UGCGGGCGGGGGCAGCGCGGCGGUCUGGCAACUCUCCCCGCAGCGCU
rnacentral:miRNA from 7 species